rnacentral:rRNA from 1 species
UUACAUAUCAAUAAGCGGAGGAAAAGAAACCAACAGGGAUUGCCUCAGUAACGGCGAGUGAAGCGGCAACAGCUCAAAUUUGAAAUCUGGCGCAAGCCCGAGUUGUAAUUUGCAGAGGAUGUUUCGGGUGAAGCCACGGUCCAAGUCCCUUGGAACAGGACGUCAUAGAGGGUGAGAACCCCGUACCUGGCCGUCGGUGCCCCCCGCUGUGAAACUCCUUCGACGAGUCGAGUUGUUUGGGAAUGCAGCUCUAAAUUGGUGGUAAAUUCCAUCUAAAGCUAAAUACCGGCCAGAGACCGAUAGCGCACAAGUAGAGUGAUCGAAAGAUGAAAAGCACUUUGAAAAGAGAGUUAAAAAGUACGUGAAAUUGUUGAAAGGGAAGCGCUUGCGGCCAGACUUGCCCGCGGUUGCUCAGCCCGCCUUUUGGCGGGUGCACUCUUCCGCGGUCAGGCCAGCAUCGGUUUGGGCGGCCGGAUAAAGGCGCCGGGAACGUGGCCUCCCCUCGGGGAGGUGUUAUAGCCCGGCGUGCAAUGCGGCCAGCCCGGACCGAGGUUCGCGCUCUGCUAGGAUGCUGGCGUAAUGGCCGUAAGCGGCCCGUCUUGAAACACGGACCAAGGAGUCUAACAUCUAUGCGAGUGUUUGGGUGUCAAACCCGUGCGCGUAAUGAAAGUGAACGGAGGUGGGAACCGCAAGGUGCACCAUCGACCGAUCCUGAUGUCUUCGGAAGGAUUUGAGUAAGAGCAUAGCUGUUGGGACCCGAAAGAUGGUGAACUAUGCGUGAAUAGGGUGAAGCCAGAGGAAACUCUGGUGGAGGCUCGCAGCGGUUCUGACGUGCAAAUCGAUCGUCAAAUUUGCGUAUAGGGGCGAAAGACUAAUCGAACCAUUUAGUAGCUGGUUCCUGCCGAGUUUUCCCUCAGGAA